rnacentral:rRNA from 1 species
CGCGUAGGUGGUUUGUUAAGUUGAAUGUGAAAUCCCCGGGCUCAACCUGGGAACUGCAUCCAAAACUGGCAAGCUAGAGUAGGGCAGAGGGUGGUGGAAUUUCCUGUGUAGCGGUGAAGUGCGUAGAUAUAGGAAGGAACACCAGUGGCGAAGGCGACCACCUGGGCUCAUACUGACACUGAGGUGCGAAAGCGUGGGGAGCAAACA